CUUCCCCUCCCCCCAGCUCCGAAAAGCUUCCUGGAAAUGUCCUUGUUAUCACUUCCCCUCUCGGGCUGGGGGCUGGGAGCGGGCGGUCCCCUCCUCCCCACCCCCCGCCCCCGCUGUUCCGCCGGCUCUCGCAGGCUCUCAGGCGCCGCCGCGCUGCAGUGCUCAAAGAGCAGUGCCCGGGCUAGCAGCUCCGCCAAGCGCCCCGCGCUCAGGCACCCUCAGCAACGCGCUACUGUACUCGCCCGCGCCUCUGCCGUCUUCGAAAUGAGGGUCUUGGGUGGGCGCUGCCGGGCGCUCCUGGCGUGCCUCGCCCUAGUGCUUCCAGUCUCAGAGGCAAACUGUGAGUAAAUCAAUAGUGUCUUGUUUUCUGCCUUCCCCAGCAUUG
rnacentral:lncRNA from 1 species